rnacentral:lncRNA from 1 species
AGAAAGUCCCGGGAUCCCUUUCCCCUCUCUGGUCAGGUCUUGUGUUCUUGACCCUCGGGCUCUCAGGUUAGGACAGUGGUGCCCCAGGCAGUUUCCUGCUCCCUGCAGGGUCCGCACUGGGGUCAGGCCCCAACAGGCUAGGACUUCACCCAGGGCAGGCAGCACCCGCCCGUGUCACUGCCAGGAUUAGUCAAAAUGGAGCCGUUGACAACUCUCUGUUCCAUUUGGGCCAUGUGCUCCCACCGGGUCUAGCGAUCCCAGAGGCUCUGUGCUUCUCGAUGCCUUAUUAUGGCUGCUCUAGCACAUUUCUUGUUCCCAGCAUGCCCUCUGUUGACAGCAUGCCACCAUGCCUUGUUUUCUUCCACAGCACCUGGUACUUCGGUGCCUUCUCAGCAAAGGGCGCAGUUUUCAGCAUGGCCUGAGUUGUUGGCCCUACUAUCCAAUCCAUUCAGGCAUGUUCCGUUACCACUCAGCACUACCAAUGUGCUUUCCCCACCUAAUCCAGAGUUCCAUUAGCACCUUGCAGGUCACCGAGAUGCCUAAGAGUGGGCGGUGCCCAGGUCAGGGCAAAAGGACAGCCGUGAAGCAGCAGCCUACACAGUUGGCUGAGCAUUCUUCAAGACUGCAACAACUCAGAUAAGAUGUGCUUAUCAGAAUUCAUGUCCAGAAAGAAAAAUCCUCCACCAGUGAGCUCACCCUAACUGCUGAUUAAGGUCUCCAACACUAAUAGAUUUUGCAUG